rnacentral:rRNA from 1 species
UACGAAGGGGGCUAGCGUUGCUCGGAAUUACUGGGCGUAAAGGGCGCGUAGGCGGCACUGUUAGUCAGGCGUGAAAUUCCUGGGCUCAACCUGGGGACUGCGCUUGAUACGGCAGAGCUAGAGGAUGGAAGAGGCUCGCGGAAUUCCCAGUGUAGAGGUGAAAUUCGUAGAUAUUGGGAAGAACACCGGUGGCGAAGGCGGCGAGCUGGUCCAUUACUGACGCUGAGGCGCGACAGCGUGGGGGAGCAAACAG